UACGAAGGGGGCUAGCGUUGCUCGGUAUCACUGGGCGUAAAGGGUGCGUAGGCGGGUUUUUAAGUCAGGGGGGAAAUCCUGGAGCUCAACUCCAGAACUGCCUUUGAUACUGAAGAUCUUGAGUCCGGGAGAGGUGAGUGGAACUGCGAGUGUAGAGGUGAAAUUCGUAGAUAUUAGGAAGAACACCAGUGGCGAAGGCGGCUCACUGGCCCGGUACUGACGCUGAGGCGCGAAAGCGUGGGGAGCAAACAGG
rnacentral:rRNA from 1 species